GAUGAAGAACGCAGCGAAAUGCGAUAAGUAAUGUGAAUUGCAGAAUUCAGUGAAUCAUCGAAUCUUUGAACGCACCUUGCACUCCUUGGUAUUCCGAGGAGUACGCCUGUUCGAGUGUUAUGAAGCUCUCAAAACGCAAUUGGCUUAAAACCUAAUUGUUGUUUUGGAUUUGAACUUUGCCGUGUUAUAACGGCUGGUUUUAAAAGUAUUAGCUGGUACUAGAACGAAUUGGUUCUACUCAACGUGAUAAUUAUCUGAUCGUUGAGGACAUUCCUUUCACGAGGAAUGGCCAUAGUAAAUUCAAUGGACUGCUUCUAAUCUGGCUUUAAUUCUUUAUUGGAUUAACCACUUUUCAAAUCUGACCUCGAAUCAGGUGGGACUACCCGCUGAACUUAAGCAUAUCAAUAAGCGGAGGA
rnacentral:misc_RNA from 1 species